AACGAACGCUGGCGGCAGGCCUAACACAUGCAAGUCGAGCGGACCCUUCGGGGUUAGCGGCGGACGGGUGAGUAACGCGUGGGAAUAUGCCCUUCUCUACGGAAUAGUCCUGGGAAACUGGGGGUAAUACCGUAUACGCCCUUUGGGGGAAAGAUUUAUCGGGGAAGGAUUAGCCCGCGUUGGAUUAGGUAGUUGGUGGGGUAAUGGCCUACCAAGCCGACGAUCCAUAGCUGGUUUGAGAGGAUGAUCAGCCACACUGGGACUGAGACACGGCCCAGACUCCUACGGGAGGCAGCAGUGGGGAAUCUUAGACAAUGGGGGCAACCCUGAUCUAGCCAUGCCGCGUGAGUGAUGAAGGCCUUAGGGUUGUAAAGCUCUUUCAGCUGGGAAGAUAAUGACGGUACCAGCAGAAGAGCCCCGGCUAACUCCGUG
rnacentral:rRNA from 1 species